AGAAAGGAAGGAAGGAAAGAAGGAAGGAAGGAAGGAAAGAAGGAAAGGAAGGAAAGGAAGGAAGGUAGGUAGAUAUUUGCAGCCUUGCAUCUGUGGAUUAGUCUUAUCUGUCCAAACUGUCCGGAGAAGCAGAAAAAGUCCGUUUUUCCAUUCAGUUUUAGCAGUCAUUUUCUGAGGGUAAAGCCAUCCUGUCUUUCUAAAACCUAGUUUUGCAGCUUGCACAGCCUUUUCCCAUCAGGAUUAAGCUCACCACAGAGCCCUUUAAGCUGCUAGUCAUGUCUUAAGAACACAAAGGCGUAUGUCCACCCAGAAUGCCACAUCCACCGCAGCUUCACAAUUUGUUUAAAUCACUCCAAAUCACUGGACAAGCAAGGACAUGCACCUGUGUCCCAGCGUGCAGGGGAGCGCUUCGGGGCUGAGCAGAGCAGGCUGUUCACCCUCUUGAGUGUUUCCGUUUUCUCAGGGGGUGUUGAAAUAUUGCUCUUGCGACUGCAAAGGAAAAAAAAAACUGUAGAAUAAACAGCUCCCAUGUGUCCUGCUUCAGAUCCGUGUUGGCAUGUGCCUCUGGGGCCACUCCAGGGUUCAUCUGGAGUAGGUUCCCCGUUUGCAAGCUGGAUAUGCGAAGUACUUCUGCUCUCACUCCACCUGGCUACACCAUAAGGAGUUAAAAGCUUUUUCUCCCCACACAGGGAAGCAGUACCCCAGCAAGCCAAGAUCCAAACGAGAAGAAACACUGUGUUACGUUUGAUGUGAGGAGCAAGAGUCUUACAUUGUGCCUUAAGCUGGUUCAGAAUAUCUUCAUGGGCAGAUAUUUUGUAGGCAGAUACCUGUCUCCGCGGCACAACUGGAUUCGACAGAAUAUCAAAAUGUCUGGAUUUGCGAUAAUAACCUUUGGAAACAUUACUCCGCGGCAGAGGCCAUGUUGUUCACAUUCCACAAAGGAUGAUCUUUUUGUAAAGCUUUUUUGCAGAGGAGAGCCUUGGGCCUCUUCCAAGGCCUUUCGUUUGGCUGGCACAUACAGAUGGCAUGCACAAAUGAGAACUGUGUACUGUUCAAGUAUAAAGGGAUCUAGAAGAGAUAUUAAGUGGAAUUUUUAGGGUAAUGUUCUACAUAGCCCCAGGUUUCCCCAGGGCAUCCUGAGACCCAUGACCUCCCUCUGACCAAAGAAAUUCUACUACUAUCAAGUUUGAAUAAUGGAUAUUUUUUUGGGUAAGAUUUUAUUUUGGAAAUUGAAAACCGAUACCCUCUAUUCAUCCUACCACCAUUUUAAAGAGUUUGAAGUGAUGCUUUGGUCCAUUCUUCGUCUUACUGCUGAGGAAAAUGAGACCCAGAGAGAUUAGAGAUUGGAGCCUAUGCCUCCUGCCUUUUACCCACUAAUUGCUGGACCAUUGCCCUGCUUCAAGUAUGUUCUCCUGACCUCUUUAAGGACACUGGGCCAGACCCUGCAUAGCUUUACUCAGGAAGGAUUCACUGAGUUUAAAUACCUCCUUCACAACCGUUUAGCACUAAUCCUCCUGUAAAUGCUGCCAUAAUUCUUACUAGGGUACCGAUGCGUGCAAAG
rnacentral:sRNA from 1 species